rnacentral:rRNA from 1 species
GAUGAACGCUGGCGGCGUGCUUAACACAUGCAAGUCGAGCGAGAAGUUUUGAAAAGAUUCUUCGGAUGAAAUUUAAAAUGGAAAGCGGCGGACGGGUGAGUAACGCGUAGGCAACCUGCCCCAUACAAAGGGAUAGCAUUUGGAAACGAAUAUUAAUACCUUAUGAUACUUAACUAGUGCAUGCUAGGUAGGUCAAAGAUUUAUCGGUAUGGGAUGGGCCUGCGUCUGAUUAGCUAGUUGGUGAGGUAACGGCUCACCAAGGCGACGAUCAGUAGCCGACCAGGGAGGGUGAACGGCCAAAUUGGAACUGAGACACGGUACAAAAACCUACGGGAGGAAGCAGUGGGGAAUAUUGCAAAAUGGGGGAAACCCUGAUGAAGCAACGCCGCGUGAACGAUGAAGGCCUUUGGGUCGUAAAGUUCUGUUCUAGGUGAUGAAAACUGACAGUAACCUAGGGGAAAGCCCCGGCUAACUCCGUG